rnacentral:rRNA from 1 species
AGGGUUUGAUCCUGGCUCAGAGCGAAUGUUGGCGGCGUGGAUGAGGCAUGCAAGUCGUACGUGAAAGUCUUCGGACGAGUAAAGUGGCGAAAGGGUGAGUAACACGUAAUCAACUUACCCUCGAGACGGGGAUAACCGCUGGAAACGGCGGCUAAUACCCGAUAUCGAUACAUGAUCGCAUGAUCGUAUAUCGAAACGGUGGGGAUCCUACGGGACCUGCUGCUUGAGGAGGGGGUUGCGUCCUAUCAGCUUGUUGGUGAGGUAACGGCUCACCAAGGCUAAGACGGGUAGCCGGUCUGAGAGGAUGAUCGGCCACACUGGGACUGAGACACUGCCCAGACUCCUACGGGAGGCUGCAGUCGAGAAUCUUCCGCAAUGGACGAAAGUCUGACGGAGCGACGCCGCGUGAAGGAUGAAGGCCCUCGGGUUGUAAACUUCUGUCAGAGUUCAAAGAAACGGUAUCCAAUAACAUUGGGUGCCUUGACAUCAGGCUCAAAGGAAGCACCGGCUAACUCUGUGCCAGCAGCCGCGGUAAUACAGAGGGUGCAAACAUUGCUCGGAAUUACUGGGCAUAAAGCGCGCGUAGGCGGCCAAGUAAGUGUUGUGUGAAAGCCCCCGGCUCAACCGGGGAACUGCACAGCAUACUGCUUGGCUAGAGCUUAGGAGGGGAAAGUGGAACUCCUUGUGAGCGGUGGAAUGCGUAGAUAUCAGGAGGAACGCCAGAGGUGAAGACGACUUUCUGGCCUAAUGCUGACGCUGAGGUGCGAAAGCUAGGGUAGCGAACGGGAUUAGAUACCCCGGUAGUCCUAGCCCUAAACGAUGGGUACUAGUUAGGGGGGGUUUCUAUGCUCUCCCUGGCGAAGCUAAUGUAUUAAGUACCCCGCCUGGGGAGUACGGUCGCAAGGCUAAAACUCAAAGGAAUUGACGGGGGCUCACACAAGCGGUGGAGCAUGUUGUUUAAUUCGAUUCAACGCGAAGAACCUUACCCAGGCCUGAAUGCAGGGAUUAAGCUGUGAAAGCAGUGGAUUGCCUUCGGGUGUAACCUGCACUGGUGUUGCAUGGCUGUCGUCAGCUCGUGUCGUGAGAUGUUGGGUUAAGUCCCGUAACGAGCGAAACCCCUAUUGUUAGUUGCCAGCGGGUAAUGCCGGGGACUCUAGCGAGACUGCCGCUGUCAAGGCGGAGGAAGGUGGGGAUGACGUCAAGUCAUCAUGGCCCUUAUGCCUGGGGCUACAAACGUGCUACAAUGGUCGGGACAGAGGGACGCGAAGCCGCGAGGUGAAGCAAAUCCCACAAACCUGGCCUCAGUUCGGAUUGCAGGCUGAAAUUCGCCUGCAUGAAGUUGGAAUCGCUAGUAAUCGCGGAUCAGCUACGCCGCGGUGAAUAUGUUCCUGAGCCUUGUACACACCGCCCGUCAAGCCACGAAAGCUGGGAGUGCCCGAAG